UAAGAUGAGAGUUUGAUCCUGGCUCAGGACGAACGCUGGCGGCGUGCCUAAUACAUGCAAGUCGAACGCGUCUUGGUCAAUGAUUU
rnacentral:rRNA from 1 species